GCCGAUGUGGCCUAAUGGAUAAGGCGCCGGCCUCCGGAGCCGGAGAUUGCGGGUUCGAGUCCCGCCAUCGGUA
rfam:Trichinella spiralis unplaced genomic scaffold Scfld3041, whole genome shotgun sequence.